GACGAACGCUGGCGGCGUGCUUAACACAUGCAAGUCGAACGGAAAGGCCCUGCUUUUGUGGGGUGCUCGAGUGGCGAACGGGUGAGUAACACGUGAGUAACCUGCCCUUGACUUUGGGAUAACUUCAGGAAACUGGGGCUAAUACCGGAUAGGAGCUCCUGCUGCAUGGUGGGGGUUGGAAAGUUUCGGCGGUUGGGGAUGGACUCGCGGCUUAUCAGCUUGUUGGUGGGGUAGUGGCUUACCAAGGCUUUGACGGGUAGCCGGCCUGAGAGGGUGACCGGCCACAUUGGGACUGAGAUACGGCCCAUACUCCUACGGGAGGCAGCAGUGGGGAAUAUUGCACGAUGGGCGGAAGCCUGAUGCAGCAACGCCGCGUGCGGGAUGACGGCCUUCGGGUUGUAAACCGCUUUCGCCUGUGACGAAGCGUGAGUGACGGUAAUGGGUAAAGAAGCACCGGCUAACUACGUG
rnacentral:rRNA from 1 species